rnacentral:rRNA from 1 species
GACGAACGCUGGCGGCGUGCUUAACACAUGCAAGUCGAACGGUAAGGCCCUUCGGGGUACACGAGUGGCGAACGGGUGAGUAACACGUGGGUGAUCUGCCCUGCACUUCGGGAUAAGCCUGGGAAACUGGGUCUAAUACCGGAUAGGACUCAGGACUGCAUGGUCGGGGGGGGAAAGGUUUUGAGGUGUAGGAUGGGCCCGCGGGCUAUGUGGUUGUUGGUGGGGUGAUGGACUACCAAGGCGACGACGGGUAGCCGGCACUGAGAGGGUGACCGGCCACACUGGGACUGAGAUACGGCCCAGACUACUACGGGAGGCAGCAGUGGGGAAGAUUGCACAAUGGGCGCAAGCCUGAUGCAGCGACGCCGCGUGAGGGAUGACGGCCUUCGGGUUGUAAACCUCUUUCAGCACAGACGAAGCGAAAGUGACGGUAUGUGCAGAAGAAGGACCGGCCAACUACGUGCCAGCCGCCGCCGUAA